UAUGACUCAGUUGGUGGAGUGCUUGCCUUGCAUGCAGAUGGCUCUGGGUUCAAUCCCCAGUA
rnacentral:tRNA from 1 species